CAGUAGCCACGGUAAUACGUAGGGUCCGAGCGUUGUCCGGAAUUACUGGGCGUAAAGAGCUCGUAGGUGGUUUGUCGCGUCGUCUGUGAAAUUCUGCAGCUUAACUGUAGGCGUGCAGGCGAUACGGGCAGACUUGAGUACUACAGGGGAGACUGGAAUUCCUGGUGUAGCGGUGAAAUGCGCAGAUAUCAGGAGGAACACCGGUGGCGAAGGCGGGUCUCUGGGUAGUAACUGACGCUGAGGAGCGAAAGCGUGGGUAGCGAACAGGAUUAGAGACCCCGGUAGUCCCUGUCUCUUAUAC
rnacentral:rRNA from 1 species